UACGUAGGGUCCGAGCGUUGUCCGGAAUUAUUGGGCGUAAAGGGCUCGUAGGCGGUUUGUCGCGUCGGGAGUGAAAAACAUCUGGCUUAACUGGGUGCUUGCUUUCGAUACGGGCAGACUGGAGGUAUGCAGGGGAGAACGGAAUUCCUGGUGUAGCGGUGAAAUGCGCAGAUAUCAGGAAGAACACCCGUGGCUAAGGCGGUUCUCUAGUACGGUACUGACGCUGAGACGCGAAAGCGUGGGGAGCGAACAGG
rnacentral:rRNA from 1 species